UAUCGACGGGGGAGUUUGGCACCUCGAUGUCGGCUCAUCACAUCCUGGGGCUGUAGCCGGUCCCAAGGGUAUGGCUGUUCGCCAUUUAAAGAGGUACGCGAGCUGGGUUUAAAACGUCGUGAGACAGUUUGGUCCCUAUCUGCCGUGGGCGUUGGAAAUUUGAAGGGGGCUGCUCCUAGUACGAGCGGCCCGGAGUGGACGCAUCACUGGUGUUCGGGUUGUCAUGCCAAUGGCACUGCCCGGUAGCUAAAUGCGGAAGAGAUAAGUGCUGAAAGCAUCUAAGCACGAAACUUGCCCCGAGAUGAGUUCUCCCUGAGACUUUAAGUCUCCUGAAGGAACGUUAAAGACGAUGACGUUGAUAGGCCGGGUGUGUAAGCGCAGCGAUGCGUUGAGCUAACCGGUACUAAUGAACCGUGAGGCUUAACCUUACAACGCCGAAG
rnacentral:rRNA from 1 species